ACCCUCUCUUGAAGGCYGGGCCUAAAGGCACUCGGGUUCUGCGCCGCUGGAGAGAGAAGGUCUUCAUGUUGUUGGUCCAGCUUCGCUCAAAGGACAUUGAACUGAGGGGAGAAAAGGACAAACUUCACUCAAUUGUACAAUCUCGUCUCUGGAGCAGGAGGUGAAGGAGAAGUACCAGUCCAGUGUGUUCCAGCACAGCCUGCAGGACAGAACAACUGAACUGGACCUGGAGAGGGUGGCCAGGGAGACGACUGUCCCCAGGCGUGAGAAGGGUCUGAUGAGUGAGUAUAAGGCCGCUCGGACCACAGCCCUGCAGACUUCUGUGGCCUUGGAGGAGCAGCAGCAGCAGAGACCCUCAGGGAAGAACAACACUCUGAAAGCCAAAGACAAGCUACAGA